GCCCGAGCAAGUGUGGCCGAGUGGUUAAGGUAUGCAAGGAUUCUUGGUUUUGGUUAACCGAAUCUAUCUGACAAGAUUAACAGGCGUCAGUCUUAAGAUAUUAUAUGAGAUCUGAUCUCGAAAGGGUCGUGGGUUCGAACCCCACCGCUUGCAU